UCGGGAAUUUUGCACAAUGGCCGAAAGGCUGAUGCAGCAACGCCGCGUGAGUGAAGAAGGCCUUCGGGUUGUAAAGCUCUGUUGCCUGUGACGAACGGCACGCUCAGGAAAUGGGGCGUGUUUGACGGUAGCGGGAGAGGAAGCCCCGGCUAACUACGUGCCAGCAGCCGCGGUAAU
rnacentral:rRNA from 1 species